UCCAUUAGUCCACUACAACGGAAAUUUAUGAAUUGCCUAUUGUAUUAAUUGCAAUACAAUAUUUUUUCUAGAAUCAGAAUGUACAGUGACACUUAACUGUGUUAGUAUAUAUACAUGUAUAUGUUAAGGCUAACAGAAAUAUCUGUUUUUUUUUUAUAGGAAGCAAGAACAUUCAUGGGGUACAACUUCCUGGGCUCGUCGAUGUUGGCAAGACUGGGGAGAUACAUUGAGACGAGUCAAGGCUUCUCGGUCAGAAUUGAGACAAACAAGAGGGGAAAACAAAAGUAUUAUGAAUGUACUGGAGGAGCGACCGUGAAGUCAUGCGUCGAGAAAUUAAAAAAGAACAGGUCGUCGCUUACAGCUGUGCGCGUCUUGUUGAUGGUGGGGCUCAACGAUAUCCUGAAAGGCACACGCUCAGACC